rnacentral:rRNA from 1 species
CAUAUCAAUAAGCGGAGGAAAAGAAACCAACAGGGAUUGCCCCAGUAACGGCGAGUGAAGCGGCAACAGCUCAAAUUUGAAAUCUGGCCCCCGGGUCCGAGUUGUAAUUUGUAGAGGAUGCUUUUGGCGAGGUGCCUUCCGAGUUCCCUGGAACGGGACGCCAUAGAGGGUGAGAGCCCCGUCUGGUCGGACACCGAGCCUCUGUAAAGCUCCUUCGACGAGUCGAGUAGUUUGGGAAUGCUGCUCAAAAUGGGAGGUAUAUGUCUUCUAAAGCUAAAUAUUGGCCAGAGACCGAUAGCGCACAAGUAGAGUGAUCGAAAGAUGAAAAGCACUUUGAAAAGAGGGUUAAAAAGUACGUGAAAUUGUUGAAAGGGAAGCGCCUAUGACCAGACUUGGGCCCGGUGAAUCAUCCAGCGUUCUCGCUGGUGCACUUUGCCGGGCACAGGCCAGCAUCAGUUUGGCGCGGGGGAGAAAGGCUCUGGGAAUGUGGCUCCUCCGGGAGUGUUAUAGCCCACUGCGUAAUACCCUGCGCCGGACUGAGGUACGCGCAUUGCAAGGAUGCUGGCGUAAUGGUCAUCAGCGACCCGUCUUGAAACACGGACCAAGGAGUCGUCUUCGUAUGCGAGUGUUCGGGUGUCAAACCCCUACGCGUAAUGAAAGUGAACGCAGGUGAGAGCUUCGGCGCAUCAUCGACCGAUCCUGAUGUUCUCGGAUGGAUUUGAGUAAGAGCAUACGGGGCCGGACCCGAAAGAAGGUGAACUAUGCCUGUAUAGGGUGAAGCCAGAGGAAACUCUGGUGGAGGCUCGCAGCGGUUCUGACGUGCGAAUCGAUCGUCAAAUAUGGGCAUGGGGGCGAAAGACUAAUCGAACCUUCUAGUAGCUGGUUU